AUUUAAAUAGCUUAUUAGAGCACAAUAUUGAAGAUAUUGGGGAGAUAAAAAUUAUCUUUAAAUA
rnacentral:tRNA from 1 species